rnacentral:lncRNA from 13 species
CAUUUGUGGGGUGCUCAUGUUGCUAAGGAUCAGAAGAUGUGCCCAGUACGAGAGAGACAGGUUGAGAUUGGAAGGGUCAGAGUGGAAAAGUGGGUCUUAUGUAGUGGCAGUUGGUGGUGUGUAAUAGUGGUAUAUAGAUGGUGGUGUGUAAUAGUGGUAUAUAGAUGGUGGUCUGUAAUAGUGGUAUAUAGAUGGUGGUCUGUAAUAGUGGUAUAUAGAUGGUGUGUAAUAGUGGUAUAUAGAUAGUGGUAUGUAAUAGUGGUAUAUAGAUGUUAGAUGGUGGUCUGUAAUAGUGGUAUAUAGAUGGUGGUGUGUAAUAGUGGUAUAUAGAUGGUGGUAUGUAAUAGUGGUAUGUAAUAGUGGUAUAUAGAUGGUGGUGUGUAAUAGUGGUAUAUAGAUGGUGGUAUGUAAUAGUGGUAUAUAGAUGGUGGUGUGUAAUAGUGGUAUAUAGAUGGUGGUAUGUAAUAGUGGUAUAUAGAUGGUGGUGUGUAAUAGUGGUAUAUAGAUGGUGGUAUGUAAUAGUGGUAUAUAGAUGUUAGAUGGUGGUGUGUAAUAGUGGUAUAUAGAUAGUGGUGUGUAAUAGUGGUAUAUAGAUGGUGGUGUGUAAUAGUGGUAUAUAGAUGGUGGUUUGUAAUAGUGGAAUAUAGAUUUUUCUAUUCAUUAUAUAUUUUUGUCUAUGUUUGUUCCUGAGAUAUCUGAUUUAAAUCUAUGUUAAAAUGUGUGGAUACAUUGAAUAAGACUGUGUUGAUGAGAGUGAGUGUGUGUUUCUUUGGAACAGAAGGAGCGUGCUCUGCGCCUCAAGAAGAUACCGGUUUGGAACGUGUUGUGUGUGUCUGUGGAUCUUCGAAGCAGGGCGCCUAAG